GACGAACGCUGGCGGCGUGCUUAACACAUGCAAGUCGAGCGGUAAGGCCCUUUCGGGGGUACACGAGCGGCGAACGGGUGAGUAACACGUGGGUGACCUGCCUUUAGCUCUGGCAUAAGCCUGGGAAACUGGGUCUAAUACCGGAUAUGACCCUAUGGCGCAUGUUGUGGGGUGGAAAGCCUUGUGCGGCUAGGGAUGGGCCCGCGGCCUAUCAGCUUGUUGGUGGGGUGAUGGCCACCAAGGCGACGACGGGUAGCCGGCCUGAGAGGGCGACCGGCCACACUGGGACUGAGACACGGCCCAGACCCCUACGGGAGGCAGCAGUGGGGAAUCUUGCGCAAUGGGCGAAAGCCUGACGCAGCGACGCCGCGUGAGGGAUGACGG
rnacentral:rRNA from 1 species